ensembl:lncRNA
AUGGAUUACAUAAGUCCCUUGCAGAAUAAGAGAAGACACAGUGGAGAGCUGGAGCAGGGGCACAACCAGUCGAAAAGGCUGUGUAAUGGUCUGGGAGGUUGUGGCCGGGUUGAAUACGGUGCGGUGAUGGAAACCCAGAUGGACACGUGGGAUGCCCAAAAUCACAGCCCUCAAAAUGGACACAGCGCCAGCGUCCCCGGCAUGCAGGUGUUACCCACCCCAGGACGCGGAGCAGGACAGUAUUGCCCCAGGUGUAUGGCAGGUGAACCUGUAAGUAAGAUUUGGUAUUCUUCUUUGUGGGUUCCCAAUAAUAUUCCCCUCUUCUUUCAUGUCAAAAGUGUGUGUGUGGAUAACAUGUCACUUUUUAUAAUAUGACACAUUCAUCAAAUUAAUCUACCCUCAGCACUUUCACCGGACGGCGUUGAUACAAGCAAUAUGAUUGCCUUUGGAAAUGUUGUACUUCCUAAAAAUCAAUAUUUAUUCAUGACGAGAAAGAAAUGCACAUUUUGAACGGUUUUCCCGCAGGCCAGAGUACCUACCAGCUGAUCUAACCACUACGACACGGGAACAGUCAGCAUAUAUGAAUAUCAAUUUGUGUAGGGUUAAUGAACAUUAUACACACAAUGCAUGGAGUGUUGAGUGAAGUUGACCUGUGUCACAUCAAUGUUUUUCUCUCUCUCUGUCUCUGACAGGGCCAUAUAAACCACAUCAAGAGAUAUUGAUCAGCAUUGCCGAUGACUCCUGGAGAAAAUGAAUCGACUGAAUAAACGGCCGAUGCAGAGAAGCA